AAUGAAGCGCCAUGGAGGGUGAGAGCCCCGUCCAUCCCGCACAGGAUCCAUUCGUACAAGGACGCUUCAACCGAGUCGGGUAGCUUGGGAAUGCUGCUCUAAUUGGUGGUAAAUCUCAUCAAAGGCUAAAUAGUGGUGGGAGACCGAUAGCGAACAAGUACCGUGAGGGAAAGAUGGAAAGAACUUUGAAAAGAGAGUGAAAAGCACUUGAAACCGUCACGGGGGAAGCGGAUUGCGUGAGUGAUGGUGUCGCUUGUUCAGCGCUUUAUUGCGUGCAUUCUGGCGGCGCCGUGCCGGCGUGGCUGGCUGGACUGUGAUUUUGACAGUCUCGGCUGGUGAGGGCUCCCUCGUAUGAGGUGAGGACGCGGGCAAAAUGACGCAAUACGACCCGUCUUGAAACACGGACCAAGGAGUCUAGCACGGCUGCGAGUCGAAGAGUGAUUAAACUCAAGGGCGCAGUGAAAGCGAAAUUAUAAGCAAAUUGGGGAGGCGUUGCGUUUUUAACAAAAUGUCCUACCUCGAGCAUUUGUGCUGGGACCCGAAAGAUGGUGAACUAUGCCGGAGUAGGGCAAAGCCAGAGGAAACUCUGGUGGAGGCUCGUAGCGAUGCUGACGUGCAAAUCGCUCGUCGAACUUGGGUAUAGGGGCGAAAGACUAAUCGAACCAUCUAGUAGCUGGUUCCCUCCGAAGUUUCUCUCAGAUAGCGGGCCGACACGCGUUUGUUGUUUUGUGCGGUAAAGCGAAUGAUUAGUGCAUUUGGGGUA
rnacentral:rRNA from 1 species